rnacentral:snRNA from 1 species
GGAUGUGAGGGCGAUCUGGCUGCGACAUCUGUCACCCCAUUGGUCACCAGGGUUGAUUCGGCUGAUCUGGCGGGCUAGACAGGUGUCCCCUUCUUCCCUCAGUGCUCCGGGUGCAUCCCUCCCAAAGCUGUGCACUUGGUCAAAGGGGACGACCACCCCCAAUAGAGGAGGACCAUUCCUCCAUCAGAGGUACACAAGUAGCUGCGCUUCCCUGCUAGAACCUCCAAACGAGCUCUCAAGAUUUCAUAGCAUUUGGACAUGGCACUCCAAUUUCGCACUUUAGAAACCCAGUGCCCCGUGUAAUU